rnacentral:rRNA from 1 species
GCCAUCGUUUAAAGAAAGCGUAAUAGCUCACUGGUCUAAUGACGUUGCGCCGAAAAUGUAACGGGGCUAAGCAUAGUACCGAAGCUUUGAAUUCCGCGAAUGCGGUCUGGUAGGGGAGCGUUCUUCACGGGCUGAAGGUGUGUCGUAAGGCAUGCUGGACUGUGGAGAAGUGAUUAUGCUGACAUGAGUAACGAUAAAACGGGUGAAAAACCCGUUCGCCGUAAACCCAAGGUUUUCCGGGUAAAGGUAAUCUUCCCGGAGUUAGUCGGCCCCUAAGGCGAGGCUGAAAGGCGUAGCUGAUGGGAAACGUGUUAAUAUUCACGUACUUGUGUGUUCGCGCGAUGAAGGGACGCAGGAAGAUAGGCAAGCCGGGCGCUGGUUGUCCCGGUGCAAGUGUGUAGGGAUGAAGAGUUGGCAAAUCCGCUCUUCUCUAUCCUGAGACGCGAGUCCGUGACCGAAAGGUCUGAAGUUGUUGAGUCUAUGCUGCCUAGAAAAGCUUCUAAGUAUAGGACACGCAAACCGUACCGGAAACCAACUCAGGUGGGUGGGAUGAAUAAUCCAAGGCGCUCGAGAGAACUCUGGCCAAGGAACUCGGCAAAAUAACCCCGUACCUUCGGAAGAAGGGGUGCUUUUUAGGGUGAAGCGAUUCACUCUGUCGAGCCCUGAAAAGCCGCAGAGAAAUGGUGGUGGCGACUGUUUACUAAAAACAUAGGUCUGUGCCAAGUCGUAUAGACGACGUAUACGGACUGACGCCUGCCCGGUGCUGGAAGGUUAAAAGGAGGAGUCAGCGCAAGCAAAGCUCCGAAUUGAAGCCCCAGUAAACGGCGGCCGUAACUAUAACGGUCCUAAGGUAGCGAAAUUCCUUGUCGGGUAAGUUCCGACCUGCACGAAUGGCGUAACGAUCUCCACACUGUCUCGGCCAGAGACUCGGUGAAAUUGAAGUCGCGGUGAAAAUGCCGUGUACCCGCAGAAAGACGGAAAGACCCUGUGCACCUUUACUAUAGCUUGACAUUGGGAUUUGAGCCUGCAUGUGUAGCAUAGGUGGGAGGCUGUGAACUCUGUACGCCAGUAUGGAGGGAGCCAUCGUUGAAAUACCACCCUUGUUUGUUCAGGUCCCUAACUCUUCGCCGUGAUCCGGUAAGAGGACAGUGUCUGGUGGGUAGUUUGACUGGGGCGGUCGCCUCCCAAAAUGUAACGGAGGCAUGCAAAGGUUCCCUCAGGCUGAUUGGAAACCAGCCGUCGAGUGCAAACGCAAAAGGGAGCUUGACUGCAAGAGAGACAUCUCGAGCAGGUACGAAAGUAGGUGUUAGUGAUCCGGUGAUCCCGAAUGGAAGGGUCAUCGCUCAUUGGAUAAAAGGUACGCCGGGGAUAACAGGCU